rnacentral:rRNA from 1 species
UACGUAGGGUGCGAGCGUUAAUCGGAAUUACUGGGCGUAAAGGGCGCGUAGGCGGUGUGUCAAGUCAGGCGUGAAAGCCCCGGGCUCAACCUGGGAACCGCGCUUGAGACUGGCACGCUCGAGUUCGGGAGAGGAUGGUGGAAUUCCCAGUGUAGAGGUGAAAUUCGUAGAUAUUGGGAAGAACACCGAUGGCGAAGGCAGCCAUCUGGACCGACACUGACGCUGAGGAGCGAAAGCGUGGGGAGCGAACAGG